AUUCCCCUUUCCCGGCAUUUGCAUAAAACGUGUUGCAAAACCACCUCUACAUGUCUAAACCGCCCUCUUUUCCCCGGUUCCUCAGCUGUAUGCCCGUGCUAUCAUUUAUUUUGUUAUCCCGGAUGUGUGUAUAUGUGUAUACAGUAUUGCUGAUGACUGACCUCUGUGUACCGUUUUGGUAGAAAGAUUAACCAACAUUUCCCUAUUUUCCCUCCUUUUUUUUUCUUAGACACGCAUGCGUGCAAGCGUGUGAGAGCCUCACAUGACAUGAUGGAUUGAACCAGAAUUGGAAACUGAAGAAAACAGAGAAAAUUCCAUCUCUAUUUUUAUCUGGAAUACAGCUUAACCAGAAGGGCUCUUUUCUCUGCUCAACCCCAGCAUGGAGACACUCUGGGAAGCUGGCAGGGGGAGAAAAAUUAGCUGUCUCCUCCCCGAAGAAACCAACAAACAGGGGUCUAACGUGUUUGAAAAAUCGCGGACUUCUGAUGUGUGGAUCUUCGGGUUCCUGUGGAUAAUCCGUUGGGGCGAACCUGAAACAAAAGUGAGACGUCUCAGUGGAAGCUGUUUUGCCUGCGACUUCUUUCUGUGUGAAUUUCAUAAUAAA
rnacentral:lncRNA from 1 species